rnacentral:lncRNA from 1 species
CUUGAAAGACUGUCGUCAAGUACUUUCAGUAAAAAAAUAGCUAUUCGAACACACCUUCUCUGUUUUUGUGACUCAUUAGAUAGGUAUUUCACUUGACCCAUAUAUUUCAUCUUUUAGUACUGUGAUUUUUUUGUGUUGUAAAGUCAACCUGUAGCUUUAAUAUAUAAAAAUAAUAGAAUCUGAAGCGAGACGAUGCAUAAAAUAUUCUUACUUUGUACGAGAUCAAGACAAAAUACUCAACUCAAACACGUCCUAACAUAAAAAGGUGCACUCGAUUUUCUCUUUUCGAUACAAUUGUUACCCAUUUUUUGAACUUUUUCUUCAGUCACAUAAUGGAAGGGCAGACACGAAAAUUACUGAACUAAUAGAUUGACAUGUUUUCCGUCCG